rnacentral:tmRNA from 1 species
UGUCUUUUCAAUUCCCUUUUCCGUACCUAUAGUAAUGGUGUCAGGCAACUGACUAUGGCGAUAAACGCUGAUCGGAAUAGACAUAGCGGACCCGGGGGCGGUACCCGGCGCCUCCACCAUCACUUGAGGGGGCGAAAUAGGAUCGACGCGUGUAGUAAAGGUUCAGUUUUUGCCCGGCAUUGUACCGCCGUUAUCGGGCUAACAUUACAAAUGCAAACGAUAAUGAUGCAUUUGCAGUUGCUGCGUAAGUAGCAACUACGGGGUUCGGGGGGCACCUGGCAACAGAAGCCCCCCACU